rnacentral:lncRNA from 1 species
UAGAAUAACUUUUCAUAUAGUCCUCCAAACAACAUAUGGAAUGUUAUCAUUCUAUCACCAUCCUAUACUAGCCUAUGAAAACAAUCUAGAUUACAAUUUUUAACAAGCCUGACCAUGUCUAUAGCCAAAAGAAGAGCACAUUUAAAAUACAGUAAUCCAACCCAGAUCUCCUACCAUAGCAUCUCAGGGAUUCUAAAUAAAAAACAAACAUGAACGAUAACCAUUUCAAAUUCCAAAUCAACUAAUAUACUAUGAAUCACAUAAGAGACAUGAAAGAGAGGAAAUGUUGUAGAAUCACAAGCAGAUCUAUUUCUACACUUUAAAUCUUGUUUUCCAUUUCAUUUCUUCCAAUACAGUUCUACAUUAAAUAAGGUUCAAGCCAUGUACCUGGCAUUGAACAACAAACCAAAAGAAGGUGAGAUAUCAGCAGGCAGCAGCAGUAUAGCAAAAAUCAACACCAACGAAACCAAUUCAAACCGGAAAAUAGGGUACAAUAACCCAGAAACCAAUAUCAGUCCAAACAGUGAACCAGAAAACCUCAAACCAAACUCGAUCUUAAUUCAUUUCAACCCCCAUUAAGCAUAAAUUGUUCCAGCAAUUGAAUAUCGAACGACUUGAAGCAGAAAAAAUCAAUAGAACAGUUUUUGUUAUCUAAAUUUUUAGCCGUUUCUAAUUUUUCUAGAAGUUUAUCUCUUGAAAAUCCUUGAAAAACAAGAUAGAUAUGCCUUUAUAGGCAAGGUACCUAGGGAAGCACCAGAGUUAGUUUUUCCUCUUAGGCCUUCUUCAAAUUCUGAUUUUAGCUUAAACGCCCUUAUUCAAUUUUGAUUUGGUUCAAAUAUCCUCAAUUCACAUAUCAAAAUUACAGAAUAAACCCAUUUCCCCAACUUCUUAAAAGCUUUUAUUUUAGCUGCAAUGAGAUUCUCUUACCCAAAUUUCCUAAUCUACCCCCACAAACCCCUAUUUUUUACCCUUGGGCUAAGCAAGCAUAUGGGUCAUGUUGACCCAUGGUUCAGCCCCAAAUCUAGGCUUGCAACCUAGUCUGAGUUCCAUUUUCUUUGGGCUUUCAAUUUAAUAGAAACCCAACCCAAUUCAGUAAUUCACAAUAAACCCACCCUAAAUUCCAGGCCAAUAGGCGUUGCAAACCAAACCAAUUUCGAGCUGAAAUCAGAACAAAAAGAACUACCUAAACUAAACCUGAGAAUUGAAUCAAUGCAACUAAGAAUGCUCUUAUAUUAAUCAUGCAAACAGAAAUUGCUUCAACAAAUGAAAAAUAACAAAGAACAGAAAAGAUGAACGGAAGAAGGUGAAGAUGGAUUGAAGAACAAAAGAACGGAGAAAAGUAGAAGAACGAGGGUACCUAGCAACAUACGCGAAUGAAUAUGGCUCGAAGGACCUCAGACUUAUCAAUUUUGAAUCAAAAUUGGUCUCAAUCAUGCAUUAAUGGAUGAGCAAGGCCAGUUU